GUAGCUUUUACUUUUAUCAAAUUUCUCAACUUCUCCGCACGAUUGUUUUGCAAGAGGGCUCAAAUUUAAAAUUGAACCCACUUUUCUCAAGGUCCUCGCGCGGAGUGCUCGCGCCAAAUCUCGAAGCAGGAGAGACUGUGAGGGCUUCAAAUCGCAUUCAUUUAUUGCUUCCGUAGUGUUGAAACGGACGGAUACACACAGGAUCAGUCAGUUCUGACGGCGAACAUCGACCGAGAAAAUUCAAGCUCCGAGCAAUGUCUGCUGAAAUAAACGGUAAGAAGUGAUAGCUCAGCGAUAACAGACGGUGAAUUGUAAUUUAGCAGUAAUGCUAUCUUCCCAGAAGCUGAUAUUUUCGAUGACAGCAUCUCGCUUGUUAAUAUGCUGCUUGUCGCAAACUAAGCGUCGAAGUGAAACCAAUUUUUCAUUCCCGGUUGACCUACCAAUGUAAGACUUGUCAUUUGAAAGUUCGCCGAUAGCUUUGAAAGCUUUCUGAUUUGAUCUCGGAACGCGCAAUAAUCUCUUUGAAAGGACACGUUUGAGGCACCAGAACUUUAUGGAUAUUUUCACGAGUUUUUCUGCUCCCAGUCCUAAAACCACAUCAUAAUAAGUAACAAGAUGGCGACACACGGCCUUUUUGAUUAAGCUGUGACUGAGGAUUAAUUAAACAUGCAUGGAAGUUUAAUAUUGUAUACAUUUUCAAUGACAACUAACUCCUGCGAUUGGCUUGAGGGUUGCUCCUGUGUGGAAUUUUCAGUCAAAUAAUUGCAUUUAGAACGCUUUCUCUCGCAAAGAAAAGCCAUUUAUGGGCGUAAAAGUGCACGUUUUUGCGUGGCUUUCAAUCUUAUGUGUUUGCUUUUCAAGUAAUCUAUUUCUCUGACACUUCGCAGUCUGAAUGGACGGGAAUUUAUUAAAAAACGCUGCGAGAAGACGUUUGCAAUCAUUUGAGCUAUUCUAGUGUAUCAGCAAGACGCAUUUUAAUUCUUUUUUUCUCCUAUCAAACUUGUGUGAUUAAUAACACCGCUUUUAACAGCACGAAAUUGAAAUUAUCAACCAGCAGAUAUUAAAAAUGUUAGAUUAUGGCGGCGGGGCGCUCCAAGCAAUUGUGUACUUAAAUAACAAUGUUACGUUGAUUAAAAAUGUGUCGCUGCGUAAAAGAGAAGGUAAUAUUAUAUUCAUUGCUAAUGGAGGGACUAAGAAAAAUAUUUGCCAAGUUUUCAGUAUGGUGAAUUACUUGUAUAUCGACUACAAAGGAAACAUCCAGAACUCAAACAAAACAAGGAAAAUAGCAAGAUAAAACAACCAUGCAAUAAAUCCCGUAUCGACUUUUGGUCGGGGCUCUACGAGCGAUAUAAACUCUGCCUUUGCACACUGUUGAGAAGCUGGCGAUCAUUAAUUAAACUUUCGGCUAAGGUUUUAAAAGCAAUGCUUUUACGGCUUAAAAGGGACUUAUAUUUGUUUUCACAGUUGUCGAAAGUUAAGUGCUGUAUUUCAGAUUAAAACACGUUGUUUUCAGAGCUAGUAUAGUUUGCAUUAAUGUGCACUUAGCCUAAAAGCAAAUCUACAGCGAUCUUUAUCUCGAAAUGGUUCUUUUUCAAAUGUGCUUUCAAACCUGCAAUUCAGCUUUAUUUCCGGGCCUUCCGUGUACUAGAUCUGUUCCGAUUUUCUCCCAACUAUAUUCGAUACAUUUCCUGUCAGGUAGGUGCUGAGAAUAAAACCAAUAAUCAACUAAGAUAUGUUGCGUUGACCUCGUCACUCAGGGAACUAGUAGUAAAAAAAAAAAAUUAAGAUAGUCACCACGAAGGUACCUUGUGCUAUGGGAUAAGCGCGCCUUUUUUAUGCGAUAAGAAACUUUAAUGCAAAAGAGAAAAAGCUUCCGUAUUUUUAGUCAGGUUUAAGUCGCGAACCUCGCCAAGGAAAUAUUAAAAGAAAUCCGCCCCUUUUAUCGUAUCCUGUUUCGAGAGAAGUGUUUAGUUGCAAAAAGUGCUGAUUAAUCCCAAUUCGUUGGUGACUGUCAAAAGCCCGGCUAUAUUUUCUUUAUCGCAGGAAGCUUUUUAUUAACAGACUGUGACGGCCAAACGCCGUUAACUAAUAGUAAGUGAGAGGGUUGGCAACACGCUGUGCUAAAAGGGUAUUAAGACAAUAUUCCAUCCAGUGAAAAAACAAAGUUAUUUGAUUAGUUUUCGAUAUCUGUUUUAUACGCCCACUUUGGGUUUCCUCGAGUUAGGUCCCGUGAAAGCUACCGGCUUUUAAGGUCGCCAACAAGGUGUACGAAAUUAUUUAUUACCACUGAUUUACAAGUUAACGGUGGAGCGGCCAAGCGUUGAACAUGCUUGUACGAAUCCACCGAUGUCAAGGCAACGAUGAAUUACAACACAGCGUAGGUGUACAAACACGCUAGCAAGCGAGUUUCGUUUUGCUUUCACGGAAUCUCUGUGGAGAAAACAAACACCUCUUAUCUAGUGAUAAAAUAUUGUGAUUGAAAGGAAAGUACAGUGAUGGCGAAGUACUGGAAUGGAACUUUCAGUUUCUCUUGGUUAAGACACCUCAGUUUACGAUAAAAGGUUUACUGCAAGGGGCUUUGACGGGUGAUACUAAAAGCCAUAAGAAGUUUCAGCGGUUUAAUUAAUAUCUACUAGUUAAACAGAAAGCAUGACCCACGCAUAGGAUGUGCUGAGACACUCAUGCACGAAAUGGUUACGUAAAUAUUGGGUCAAUAAAUAUGCUAUGUUUAAUAUCGAAA
rnacentral:lncRNA from 1 species